rnacentral:lncRNA from 1 species
CUGCGGCCGCGUCGGCGUCCUGCGGCCGCGUCGGCGUCCUGCGGCAGGCAACCCACGGCCUGCGGCCGAGGCCGGCACCCGCGAUUGCGGCUGCGGAUCACCCACUGGUAAGUCGUCUCUUUUUUUUUUAUCUCCUCCCCCUUCCUUCUCCCGUGAAGGGGGAUCGGCUCGGGAGAGGGCCGGCUUGAGGCCGGCGGCACCAGCUGCGCCUAUGGCAGCCUCGGUAGCCGCGGUCUGCCUCCCCUUCUUCAUCUCUCUUUCUUCCCUCUUCUUUCCGUUUUAAUUUUAUUUUGUUCUAAAUCUACUCUACAAAGCAUAAUUUGUAGAGAACAGGAAUUAGAGCUUACCUGAUCUGAAGGUGGUCGUCCGCCUCCUACUCCGGCGAUGCGGCCCUUUACUCCGGCGGCGUGGGUCUAACACCGGGUCCUGCCAAUCGGAGAGGAUUGUGAGAGAGGGAGACAAACAGUGGAGGAGGAAGAUGAACGGGUGGUGAAAUGGUAGCCGAUCGGGGCUUCUUGUAGCCUCGAUCACUGGGGAAGGCGGACGGUUGUAACCGCCCACCAUCAGGCGUUACGAACGCCUGCACGAUGGUGUAUUGCCCCCCCCUCCGUUUCUCUUGGGAGUGGGGCGGUUAUCAC